UCGCACGAUCUCUCCCGGGCUUCUCUGAUCAACUUUCAUGACGAAGAAAGCCCCAAAGCUCGUGCUACAACCCACGCCGUCUGUGUUGCAGAUUAGCCCUCUGUACCUUUACUUUCCCAUGGCUCUUUCUGUGUCGAAUUAUACGGCUACAUUC